rnacentral:rRNA from 1 species
UCUGGCUCAGGAUGAACGCUGGCGGCGUGCUUAACACAUGCAAGUCGAACGGUGAAGCCUGCUAUUAUAGUGGGUGGAUCAGUGGCGGACUGGUGAGUAACACGUAGGUGACCUGCCCCAAAGAGGAGAAUAACUUGACGAAAGUGAAGCUAAUACUCCAUGUGGUCAACCAUUCGGUUGAUUGAUUAAAGCUAAGGCGCUUUGGGAGGGGCUUGCGGCCCAUCAGCUAGUUGGUAGGGUAAAGGCCUACCAAGGCGAAGACGGGUAGCUGGUCUGAGAGGACGAUCAGCCACAAUGGCACUGAAACACGGGCCAUACUCCUACGGGAGGCAGCAGUGAGGAAUAUUGCACAAUCGACGCAAGUCGGAUGCAGCAACGCCGCGUGGACGAUGAAGGCCUUCGGGCUGUAAAGUCCUUUUAAGAGGGACGAGGAAGGACGGUACCUCUUGAAUAAGUCUCGGCUAACUACGUGCCAGCAGCCGCGGUAACACGUAGGAGGCGAGCGUUAUCCGGAUUUAUUGGGCGUAAAGCGCAUGCAGGUGGCUAGGUAAGUCGGGUGUGAAAGCCCCGGACUUAAUCCGGGGAGGUCAUUCGAUACUGCUUGGCUUGAGAGCGGGAGAGGGAAGUGGAAUUCUCGGUGUAGUGGUGAUAUGCGUAGCAUAUCCGAGAGCGAACCACCCAGUGGCCGAAGGCGGCUUCCUGGCCCGUAUCUGACACUAAGAUGCGAAAGCGUGGGUAGCAAACGGACUUAGAUACUCCGGUAGUCCACGCUGUAAACGAUGGGUACUAGGUGUAGGGGGUGUAAAACUCUCUGUGCCAUAGUUAACGCACUAAGUACCCCGCCUGGGGACUACGGUCGCAAGGCUAAAACUCAAAGGAAUUGACGGCGGCCCGCACAAGCAGCGGAGCGUGUGGUUCAAUUCGAAGAUACNCGAAGAACCUUUACCUGG